rnacentral:ncRNA from 1 species
GGUAAUCGGCCACAUUGGGACUGAGAUACGGCCCAAACUCCUACGGGAGGCAGCAGUAGGGAAUCUUCCACAAUGGACGAAAGUCUGAUGGAGCAACGCCGCGUGAGUGAAGAAGGGUUUCGGCUCGUAAAACUCUGUUGUUGAAGAAGAACACAUCUGAGAGUAACUGUUCAGGUGUUGACGGUAUUUAACCAGAAAGCCACGGCUAACUACGUGCCAGCAGCCGCGGUAAUACGUAGGUGGCAAGCGUUGUCCGGAUUUAUUGGGCGUAAAGCGAGCGCAGGCGGUUUCUUAAGUCUGAUGUGAAAGCCUUCGGCUUAACCGGAGAAGUGCAUCGGAAACUGGGAGACUUGAGUGCAGAAGAGGACAGUGGAACUCCAUGUGUAGCGGUGAAAUGCGUAGAUAUAUGGAAGAACACCAGUGGCGAAGGCGGCUGUCUGGUCUGUAACUGACGCUGAGGCUCGAAAGCAUGGGUAGCGAACAGGAUUAGAUACCCUGGUAGUCCAUGCCGUAAACGAUGAAUACUAGGUGUUGGAGGGUUUCCGCCCUUCAGUGCCGCAGCUAACGCAUUAAGUAUUCCGCCUGGGGAGUACGACCGCAAGGU